GACGAACGCUGGCGGCGUGCUUAACACAUGCAAGUCGAACGAAGAGCGACGGAAGCUUGCUUCUAUCAAUCUUAGUGGCGAACGGGUGAGUAACGCGUAAUCAACCUGCCCUUCAGAGGGGGACAACAGUUGGAAACGACUGCUAAUACCGCAUACGAUCUAAUCUCGGCAUCGAGGAUGGAUGAAAGGUGGCCUCUACAUGUAAGCUAUCACUGAAGGAGGGGAUUGCGUCUGAUUAGCUAGUUGGAGGGGUAACGGCCCACCAAGGCGAUGAUCAGUAGCCGGUCUGAGAGGAUGAACGGCCACAUUGGGACUGAGACACGGCCCAGACUCCUACGGGAGGCAGCAGUGGGGAAUCUUCCGCAAUGGACGAAAGUCUGACGGAGCAACGCCGCGUGAGUGAUGACGGCCUUUCGGGUUGUAAAAGCUUCUGU
rnacentral:rRNA from 1 species